GAUGAACGCUGGCGGCGUGCCUAAUACAUGCAAGUCGAGCGGACGGACGAGAAGCUUGCUUCUCUGAUGUUAGCGGCGGACGGGUGAGUAACACGUGGAUAACCUACCUAUAAGACUGGGAUAACUUCGGGAAACCGGAGCUAAUACCGGAUAAUAUUUUGAACCGCAUGGUUCAAAAGUGAAAGACGGUCUUGCCGUCACUUAUAGAUGGAUCCGCGCUGCAUUAGCUAGUUGGUAAGGUAACGGCUUACCAAGGCAACGAUGCAUAGCCGACCUGAGAGGGUGAUCGGCCACACUAGAACUGAGACACGGUCCAGACUCCUACGGGAGGCAGCAGUAGGGAAUCUUCCGCAAUGAGCGAAAGCCUGACGGAGUAACGCCGCGUGAGUGAUGAAGGUCUUCGGAUCGUAAAACUCUGUUAUUAGGGAAGAACAUAUGUGUAAGUAACUGUGCACAUCUUGACGGUACCUAAUCAGAAAGCCACGGCUAACUACGUG
rnacentral:rRNA from 1 species